rnacentral:misc_RNA from 1 species
GCCGAUGUCCCGAAGUCGUGCUGUUAUGGCUCUGCACUUUGUUUGCAAGGAGGGGUCUACGGAAAGUGAGCGUGCAGGUCUCAGUGAGGUGGCUGAUUCGUACGUCAUGGAUGGGAGGGUGGGUUUAGCUGAGCCUGCCCCUGGAGUGGAACUGUACUUCUGCCCACCUCAGUCAAAGACUAGUGAAAUGCUCGCCGAGGUCCUCCCAAAGGGCCAAGUUGAUACCCUUAAUGCUAUCGAUAAUGGUUUAAUUGGUGUUAUUGUAUGGAGAAAACCU